rnacentral:rRNA from 1 species
AAUAGAUACCCAGGUAGUCCACGCCGUAAACGAUGAGUGCUAAGUGUUAGGGGGUUUCCACCCCUUAGUGCUGCAGCUAACGCAUUAAGCACUCCGCCUGGGGAGUACGGUCGCAAAACUGAAACUCAAAGGAAUUGACGGGGGCCCGCACAAGCGGUGGAGCAUGUGGUUUAAUUCGAAGCAACGCGAAGAACCUUACCAGGUCUUGACAUCCCGCUGACCGCUAUGGAGACAUAGCCUUCCCUUCGGAGACAGCGGUGACAGGUGGUGCAUGGUUGUCGUCAGCUCGUGUCGUGAGAUGUUGGGUUAAGUCCCGCAACGAGCGCAACCCUUGUCCUUAGUUGCCAUCAUUCAGUUGGGCACUCUAAGGAGACUGCCGUACAAAUACGGAGGAAGGUGGGGAUGACGUCAAAUCAUCAUGCCCCUUAUGACCUGGGCUACACACGUGCUACAAUGGACGGUACAAACGGUCGCGAAGUCGCGAGACGGAGCCAAUCCGAAAAAACCGUUCUCAGUUCGGAUUGCAGGCUGCAACUCG